GCCCACCCAGCCCUCUUCAGAACCGUCAAGGUCCUGUCGUCCUUCUCGGGCUCGAGAAUCAUAGUUGGGAAACUAAAAGAGAUAGUUAAGCCCAGAGUUGGAAGAAAAUGAGAAUGGAAGGUGAAGAAGAGAGAAGAUUCUUGCCUUAUGAAUAGCCUCGAGCUGCAGCCUGUCCAGACAGAGCUGGGAGUGCCCCUCUCCCUCCUGCAUGCGUAGCAUUGGUUCUCUAUGGAGCAGAUCGUGGAAUGAACCCUGGGGAAAGGAAGUGGAAUAGGAGAGAGAAAUCUCCCAGAAUCAGAAAAAAGGGCAGAGAUGCAAUCUUCACCUGUUUAUUCGGUAGAGUGUGCCAUCUUCAGGAAGCCCUUCACGCUGUACAGAAAACAGUGGAGACUUCUCUUCUUGGGGCAGGUUUCAGAAAUGUUGCUUCAACUUACAGUUCGGAUAACAAGUGCCACUUCCAGGCUAAAGGAAUCCAUUCAGCAAACUCCCAGUAUGAAUGUUUCUGUUCUCGGCUGGAGAAACAAAGGAAGCAUCAAUGAAGGAGAGAGAU